CACACACACACACACAAACAGUGAUUCAAAUACUUCCUACCUCUUUAUGAAACGACUGAUUGAUUGAAUGUUCUGUGCAGACACCAGCAAAAGACUAAACAGAAUACUAAAGAGAGAAAACAGGAUGAAGAACUAGACAAACUGACUGCGUGCAUAUAGGAUACAUUUGAAACAAAACCAUGAACUUGUUUACUGAAUUAGAAAGAUCCGGGCAUAGUUGUGUCUGAGAACCAUCAGAGACUCCAGGACCGAGAGAGAGAACUGAAAGACAUGAAGAAAGACUCAGACACACUCACUGUAAUUAUAUUCUAUUGGUUUUAUGAGUUACGUCUUAUGGCUCUGGAACAAGAUGGGUGCAUAAAUAAUGACCUUUUUUUGGAGGGUGAAGUCAGAAUAUUUGUGUGUGUGUACAGGUCCUCAGAAAUGGUGUGGGACGAGGCGGAUGUGGUCCUGUCGGAGCUCCAGGAGUCAACUGGAUGUCACUGCCAAAAAUCUACAUUUUAUUACAUUUAGAGCAAAAUUGUUUUUAUUUUAAUUUAUUUUUUUCCUAUUUGCUUCUGGGGUGAAAUAUGAUUCAGAUGUAUCCUGACAGCUGUUUUUUUUUUUUUUUUUUUUUUUUUCAGUUUUGUGUGUUUUAUUAAUAUCAAAGUAGUCAUGGACAGAGAAAAUCAGACCUCUCAUAGACGUCAAAGCACACAGAGCAGAAGCACACGUGAUGAAGAACAAGAGGACUGCUGGAGCUUGAGUAAAGACUAAUGAGAGAGGACAGAGAACAAG